rnacentral:rRNA from 1 species
AGUCGGAAUUGCUAGUAAUCGCGGAUCAGCAUGCCGCGGUGAAUACGUUCCCGGGCCUUGUACACACCGCCCGUCACACCAUGAGAGUCGGGAACACCCGAAGUCGGUAGUCUAACCGCAAGGAGGGCGCCGCCGAAGGUGGGCUUGAUAAUUGGGGUGAAGUCGUAACAAGGUACC